rnacentral:lncRNA from 1 species
CCCAGCAUGUGAAGACUGUUUCAGCGAAACAGGCAGAAGAAACCAACAAGAAGGUUCAACGGCCGAGAUGGCGAUACAGCAAGGCACUGUGGAGUGCUUAGGGCGUGUUGGAGUACAAAGGACAACACGGCCAUCCAAUGCAGCUGAGGAAGUCUCCAGGUGUAAUGACGUUUCGUGCCAAUGGACCCAGGUUUCCAACGCCGAGAGAGUGGGACUGUCACUGUGCUUCGACUUUUCCACUUAAAUGUUCAUUCAAAGGUGUCUUUGUGCACAAAAACGCACAAAGACAAUCGUCAUCCUCGGUUCGAGAGACAACCAACAUACUUCUCUUGGGUCUUGUGAGAGAAUGAUUAACAGAAUGUGAGACUCAGAAUCUUCUUGAGCCUGGUUGAGUCAGAACUCCUAGGAACAGUUCACCAACUGUCACUCUGAACCUGGGAGGUGAAGAAGGAAAGGUGUGUGGCUGAGACAUCUUGAAACCCAUCAAUCAAGCUACUGGGCUUUUGAAUAUCUACUGGCUGUGGUGAGACAUUAUCUUCAGUCUUUUGCUGGACAAUGACUGGAGAGCUGACCUACCUACUUUGAUGAGAACAUCUGUGGACAUCACACCUGGGACUCCAGUAUCUGACUUACCAAGGAACCUCUAUUUGUGCAAUUUUGACUCCCUGUUGGACUUGCCCUUAGGAACUUAGGUUUUAGUUCAGUGUGAAUUAGAUAGUGUUGAUUAAGUGGGUAAACAUUUAGCUUUCACCCUCCCCCACUCUCCUUCCCUUCAUGCCCUCUCUGUUAAAUAAAUUCAAUAAUUUUAUAUGUCCUGUUUUCGCA